AGAUUGAACGCUGGCGGCAGGCCUAACACAUGCAAGUCGAGCGGUAGAGAGGUGCUUGCAUCUCUUGAGAGCGGCGGACGGGUGAGUAAUGCCUAGGAAUCUGCCUAGUGGUGGGGGAUAACGUUCGGAAACGGACGCUAAUACCGCAUACGUCCUACGGGAGAAAGCGGGGGACCUUCGGGCCUCGCGCCAUUAGAUGAGCCUAGGUCGGAUUAGCUAGUUGGUGAGGUAAUGGCUCACCAAGGCGACGAUCCGUAACUGGUCUGAGAGGAUGAUCAGUCACACUGGAACUGAGACACGGUCCAGACUCCGUACGGGAGCAGCAGGUGGGGAAUAGUUGGACAAGUGGGACGAAAGCCUGACU
rnacentral:rRNA from 1 species